rnacentral:rRNA from 1 species
CCUACGGGUGGCAGCAGUAGGGAAUAUUGCUCAAUGGGGGAAACUCUGAUGCAGCAACGCCGCGUGGAGGAUGACGGUUUUCGGAUUGUAAAGCUCUUUUGUUAGGGCAGAAAAUUACGGUAUCUAACUCAUCAGCACCGGCUAACACAGUGCCAGCAACCGCGGUAAUACGGAGGGUGCAAGCGUUAUACGGAAUGACUGGGUGUAAAGUGGGCGUAGUCGGUAUAGCAAGUCAGAUGUGAAAGCCUUCGGCUGAACCGUAGAACUGCAUUUGAAACUGUUAUUCUAGAGUAUGGGAGAGGGAAGUGGAAGUCGUGGGGUAGGGGUGAAAUGCGUAGAGAUCAGGAAGAACACCAGUGGCGAAGGCGACCUGCUGGAACGUAACUGACGCUGAGGCUCGAAAGCGUGGGGAGCAAACAGGAUUAGAUACCCGAGUAGUC